CGUUAUACCCUCCCUCGGGUCUCGCGAGAGCCUCGCGCAUGGGGCGCGAGGGGGGGGCUCGUGGAGGGGAGGCGGGAGCCCCAGCGCGAGAGGCAGCCAGCGCGAGGCCCCGGCGGCGGCGCGGAGCGGCGCGGCCCGGCCCUCCCUCAGGGGCUUGCCUAGAUCAGGGAUCCUCACGGCAGCCUUGGAUUGCAGUUGAUCCUGUCUAUGCCAGGCAUUGCAAACAGCUUUUCUAUACAUCGGAAGCAUAAAUACGAGGUAGAGAGACCCCUGAAGUUCUUCAUGUUGGCGAAGGCAGCAGGCUGCUUAAGUGAUAGUGGUAAGGACAAUCUCUGACCUCUGUUAAUUAAAAAAGCAUAGGGUUGGCUGCCCUGUGAAAUACGGCAGUCUCCCUCCGUAAUAAUUAUGCUGCGUGUUUAACAAUAAGAUUUGUUUGUUGAUGGAAUAAACACAUCCCUAACCUCAUCCCACGCAACCGAGUGUAAAUGUAGGAGGGUGAUUUAAACAGUCUUCAAACACCUCCAGCACCAGCCUGACUUUGACAGGAAGGGGCAUAACAACUGUCCUCUAAAGUUUUGUGACUUUGCUGCUGUCUCAGUGUCGUAGCUCCUAACUUGAAGCUGCUUCAUCACUUGACAGUUGCUGAAUGUGGCGCUGGACUGGCAGAGACUUCUGGGGUUUGUGAUUAGUUUGAGAACAAACUGUAAAAACUGACGCCCCAGGCUCCCUUUGUAGACCAGUUCACCAGCAUACCUGGCUGCAAGGACUCUUGAGAGGAGCUUUCAGGCUCUCACGUGGCCUCGUGCUCAGCUUGCUGGAGGUACGUGUGGUCACGCCUGGUGCUGUUUACACUCUAAGUGCCGUUCAAACACAAACCUGUGAGCCCACCAAGCGCAGAGUUGUGGCCCUGGCUUUUGUAGGCAGGUAACCCGUUUGUCAAAGCCUGCACAAAUCGUUGACUGAAUAGGAGUUAAGAAAUCUGGAACUAAUGACACUUGCUUCUACCUUCAGCUUGAUAGACAACACUGGCUGCAGCUUCUGGGAGCCUGGGCUGUGCCAGGAACCGUGGGACAGAUCCUUGUCUCUUAUGGGCAAGGAAGACGGGUGCACAGUGAGACGAGUGACGAUGUGACUGUCAGGAGGGGGAAAACUAACGCCCAGGCUGUCCAAGACAGCAAUAUUUGACUUUUAUUUGGUCUGUAUCCUGAUACGAUAGUCUUACCUGCCACCAUACUGCACAGGUGAUGGUAAAAUAGCUCUAGCAGUCAUCAAGUUGAUGUGUCCUUUGUCUGAUCUGACUUCUUUUGUUAUUUUCUUACAGAGAGAGUUGUAGUGAGGCUGCCCUCUGCUAGGAGUGGGUGAUGAAGGGCUGAGCACUCUUGACUCAUUCAGAGCUGCAGCGUUUUGUGCAGCUACCUGGAAGGUUCGGUUGCAGUGUUUUUUGGACCCCAAGCACAGGUGACAAAGUGUUUAAUCAGUUCUGUGCUUCUCUUCUUUGUGGUGUCAGAGAGUUGGUCCGAGCAGUGGUUUGGUAUUACAGGAAGGUUUGACCUCUUCAUCCCUCUUUGCUGGAGGCUGCUUUUGCAUGUUAAAGCUUCCUGAGGAAGCCUGGGUUUCUCUGUGCCUUCAGAACAGGUCAUACGUAACAGCAGCUCCUGUGUCCACUGUUAGAUGCAGCAGAUGCAUGGAAGUCAGCUACGUCAGGGCCUGAAGGAGAUUACUCUUGGAGGAGGAUCAGUUUGCUGUGGGUGGAGGUGAGAUCCCAGUUUGUUUAGCAGGCAAGAGCAAUGGUUCAGUAUUUUGGUUUCUCCUGGUCUAGAGCUCUCGCAGAAGUUCAGAAGGAUGGUACAAAGAGUCCUGUCUUUAACGUGUCCUUGUCUUGCUGUCAUCUGUGCCUGUGUCACCUCAAGGCUAGCCUUCGCCAGGAUUUAAUCUUCUGGUGAAGAUACAGAGCUGCUGUUAUCUCCUGCGAGUUCUGCAAGCCCCAUGUCACUUCUGUGGGCUUUUCUGAGGGGGCUGCUGUCGUGGGUGGAUGUUCCUGGCCAUCUUUAUUGCUUUUAUUAUUAUGCUCGUCCUAUGCUAGGGAGCGUUUUGGCUGCUCGCCUGUUCCAUUUGUGAGAGGGCUAUUUAUCCUUUUGUGAGUUCGUGUUUGCAUAGGCCAUGCAGUUUUGCUUAAAAAAUCCAAACAUAGUCUAGUGUAGUGGAAGUCUCUCCCCUUUUUGUGGGAGAAGAACUGGCAGCUGCUUUCUCAUAACUUUUGGUUGUUGCUGAUGUGCGCUGCGGCUGAGCCAGUGCUUGAGGAGGGGAAUUCCACCUCCUGUAGCCACCCAUUUUAGCUGCACACUGUCCUAGAGUGUGGUAAUAGAAAAAUAAACUUUUUUUCACGUUGAGCAAUAAUUGAUUUCUGUGUCUUUUUCACUAAAAGCAAAAGGGGACUGUUUUCUGUAGCACAUGCAUUCACCCUCUGCUGCUAAGUUGCAUUCUUGGAGCACUUUCUCAUAUAGCUCCUAAAAAUAACAAGUCUCCCCACCCUCUUGCUGCUGCUCAGUGCGUGUGCAUGUAUUAAUGGUUAGAAAUGCAAAAAGCUAACUAAAAGAGCCUGUGUCUUCGUGAACGCGUUUUGGCCGCAUUCGGGUUUCAUUUCUGCUCUUGGCUGUACCAAGCUGACAUGCGUCGCUGCAGCCAAGUGCCGAACUUGGAGUAAGAGAUGCUGGAAGCAACAUGAACAGCCAGAACAUGUUCGCACAGUAAACCCCCUGAAGAGAUAGCAUUUGCUUUAUUAUAGCUUUUUAAAAUCCUGCUAUAAAAAUAUCAGUGGGUGGAGGGAACCAUUAUUUCUUGAAUUUGAGGUGGUGGGGGUUACUUUAUUUACUCUUAUUUUUUAUUAAUAAGAAUAGCUUCACUUGUAGCAUAAUAGGACUGAGUGUUUUGUUAUCCUUGGCUAUAAUCUGUGAUAAACUACCCCUGCCAUCAGCCUUGUAGUUUACCCACUAGGGAGCCAGAUUAUUGCCUUGUAAAACGGAGCACCACUCCUAUAAUCCCUUAAUUAAUUAAAUGACAAAUUUUAGUUCUCUCCCAUUGAAAAUAUAACUUGUACAUAGAGAGGACUUGGAUUUAUUUGAUCACUUCUUGGUUGCACUUUGUUUUUUUUCCUGUAGAUUGUCACUGUCUUUGCCUAUGU
ensembl:lncRNA